CGAAAUGCCAUUGGUUAAUACCCGGUGGAGCUGACGGUACCUGAGGAAUAAGCACCGGCUAACUUCGUGCCAGCAGCCGCGGUAAUACGAAGGGUGCAAGCGUUAAUCGGAAUUACUGGGCGUAAAGCGUGCGUAGGCGGUUAUUUAAGUCUGUUGUGAAAUCCCCGGGCUCAACCUGGGAAUGGCAAUGGAUACUGGAUAGCUAGAGUGUGAUAGAGGAUGGUGGAAUUCCCGGUGUAGCGGUGAAAUGCGUAGAGAUCGGGAGGAACAUCAGUGGCGAAGGCGGCCAUCUGGAUCAACACUGACGCUGAGGCACGAAAGCGUGGGGAGCAAACAGGAUUAGAUACCCUGGUAGUCCACGCCCUAAACGAUGCGAACUGGAUGUUGGUCUCAACUCGGAGAUCAGUGUCGAAGCUAACGCGUUAAGUUCGCCGCCUGGGGAGUACGGUCGCAAGACUGAAACUCAAAGGAAUUGACGGGGGCCCGCACAAGCGGUGGAGUAUGUGGUUUAAUUCGAUGCAACGCGAAGAACCUUACCUGGCCUUGACAUGUCUGGAAUCCUGCAGAGAUGCGGGAGUGCCUUCGGGAAUCAGAACACAGGUGCUGCAUGGCUGUCGUCA
rnacentral:rRNA from 1 species